rnacentral:rRNA from 1 species
CCUACGGGAGGCUGCAGUGGGGAAUAUUGCACAAUGGGGGAAACCCUGAUGCAGCAACGCCGCGUGAAGGAAGACGGUUUUCGGAUUGUAAACUUCUGUUCUUAGUGAAGAAUAAUGACGGUAGCUAAGGAGCAAGCCACGGCUAACUACGUGCCAGUAGCCGCGGUAAUACGUAGGUGGCAAGCGUUGUCCGGAAUUACUGGGUGGAAAGGGAGCGCAGGCGGGAAGCCAAGUCAGCUGUGAAAACUGCGGGCUUAACUUGUAGACUGCAGUUGAAACUGGUUUUCUUGAGUGAAGUAGAGGUAGGCGGAAUGCGGGGUGUAGCGGUGAAAUGCGUAGAUAUUCGGAGGAACACCGGUGGCGAAGGCGGCCAACUGGGCUGUAACUGACGCUGAGGCUCGAAAGUGUGGGGAGCAAACAGGAUUAGAUACCCGGGUAGUC